GACGAACGCUGACGGUGUGCUUUAGACAUGCAAGUCGAACGCGAAAGCCCUUCGGGGUUAGUAGAGUGGCGAACGGGUGAGUAACACGUGGGCAAUCUGCCCCUCGCAGGGGGACAACCGGAGGAAACUCCGGCUAAUACCCCGUACGCUUGCUGGACCGCAUGGUCCGGCAAGGAAAGGUAGCUUCGGCCAUCCGGCGAGGGAUGAGCCCGCGGUGCAUUAGCUAGUUGGUGAGGUAACGGCUCACCAAGGCAACGAUGCAUAGCUGGUCUGAGAGGAUGAUCAGCCACACUGGGACUGAGACACGGGCCCAGACUCCUACGGGAGGCAGCAGUCGGGAAUCUUGCGCAAUGGGCGAAAGCCUGACGCAGCAACACCGUGUGAGCGACGAAGGCCUUC
rnacentral:rRNA from 1 species